CCUGCGGAAGGAUCAUUACUGAGUGAGGGCCCUCUGGGUCCAACCUCCCACCCGUGUUUAUUGUACCUUGUUGCUUCGGUGCGCCCGCCUCACGGCCGCCGGGGGGCUUCUGCCCCCGGGUCCGCGCGCACCGGAGACACUAUUGAACUCUGUCUGAAGAUUGCAGUCUGAGCAUAAACUAAAUAAGUUAAAACUUUCAACAACGGAUCUCUUGGUUCCGGCAUCGAUGAAGAACGCAGCGAAAUGCGAUAACUAAUGUGAAUUGCAGAAUUCAGUGAAUCAUCGAGUCUUUGAACGCACAUUGCGCCCCCUGGUAUUCCGGGGGGCAUGCCUGUCCGAGCGUCAUUGCUGCCCUCAAGCACGGCUUGUGUGUUGGGCUCCGUCCCCCCGGGGACGGGUCCGAAAGGCAGCGGCGGCACCGAGUCCGGUCCUCGAGCGUAUGGGGCUUUGUCACCCGCUCUGUAGGCCCGGCCGGCGCCAGCCGACAACCAAUCAUCCUUUUUUCAGGUUGACCUCGGAUCAGGUAGGGAUACCCGCUGAACUUAAGCAUAUCAAUAAGCGGAGGA
rnacentral:rRNA from 1 species